UUUAGUGUGGAUCGUUGUCCUUGGACUGCAGAUCGCCAAGGUUUUAAUCAGCUUUGUGCAUAUUUUCUUUCUAGAAGUACUCUAUGAUUAGUUUUCCUUUGCUUCUCGCAUCAAUGAGCUAGAUUGAUGGAUUUCUCUUGUGAUGGAUACAGAAUCAUACAACUACUUGUUCGGUGCUGUAUUGGGUACUAAACAAGCCUCUACCUGCAGGCCCAAGCACUAGCACUCGUUCAGAGACCAAGGAAUCUGAAAAAGCAAAGGUCUCUAUUCUUGAGAAUAUUUAUUGGAAGGAAGUUGGUGUACUUUCUGCAGUGUGGAUCGUUGUCCUUGGACUGCAGAUCGCCAAGAAUCAUACAACUACUUGUUCGGUACUGUAUUGGGUACUAAACCUAUUGCAAGUACCUUUAAACAACUUCAACGAGAAUAGAAGAGCUGUGGGCUCGGAUGCUAAGAUUCUUGAAAACUAUUGCUUGAGCAUCUUGGUGAUGGUUUAUUUUCCUUUUGUCAUCAUCAGAUCCCAAUAAGUGUUGAAGUGACUUCAUAUGAAGCCGUGAACCUAUACAAAGGGCAGAGAGUGAUCGCAUCAAAGGGAGAAGCAGACACAAAUUAGCGAGUGCACCAGCUGGUUCUUUAUUGUGCAUGUGGAAUAUUAGCCGACGUAGUCGGAGGGUUGCUUGGUCUUGGUGGAGAAUUCAUUUUGGGUCCACUUUUUCUGGAGCUGGGAGUCCUUCCUCAGGUGCGUUGGGUGCUUCGAACAAAUCUUCAUAUAUUUUGAGAGAUUGUGUUAGAUGUCAGCGUUGUUAAUUUUUUUUUUUCCCCUUUCGGCUGAUCAUUAUUUUUUAUUUUUCUUUCAGUCUCCUUUUCUCUUUUGUUUGUUUUUUCUUCCAUCGCGGAUUCGCAGGGAAAUGAAUACAUGUUGUUCAUUUUCUACAAA